GAUAGCGGAGAAAUUCCAAUCGAACUCGGAGAUAGCUGGUUCUCCUCGAAAUAGUUUUAGGACUAGCCUUGUUAAGUAGUAUGUGGGGGUAGAGCACUGAAGGAGCUAGGGGCCAAACCAGGUUACUGAACUCUAUCAAACUCCGAAUACCAUGUACGUAAAAACAGGAGUCAGACUGCGGGAGCUAAGUUCCGUGGUCAAAAGGGAAAGAGCCCAGAUCGUCAAUUAAGGUCCCAAAGAUAUAGUUAAGUGGAAAACGAUGUGAUUUUGCGUAAACAACCAGGAUGUUGGCUUAGAAGCAGCCAUUCAUUUAAAGAGUGCGUAAUAGCUCACUGGUCGAGUGAAGUUGCGCGGAAAAUUACCGGGGCUAAACUAUACACCGAAAUUGCGGAUUCAUGAGAAAUCAUGAGUGGUAGAGGAGCAUUCUAUAGUAGGACGAAGGUAGACCGAAAGGACUGCUGGACGAGAUAGAAGAGAGAAUGCCGGAAUAAGUAGCGAGAGCAAGGUGAGAAUCCUUGCCGUCGAAAGUCUAAGGUUUCCUGGGGAAGGUUCGUCCGCCCAGGGUAAGUCGGGACCUAAGGUGAGGCCGAAAGGCGUAGCCGAUGGAUAGCAGGCAAAAAAUUCCUGCACUAUUGAUAUACAUUAAAAAGCGCAUGUGACACAGGAGAGGAAGAUAAGCGAGGAAGAGGAAAGACUCGUACCGCAAGGUAUAGUGAAAAUAAAAGUAACGAAUUAUCAAGAAUCACACUGGCAAGAAAAGCAUGUGAGUCUAGUAUAUAGAUACCCGUACCGCAAACCGACACAGGUAGAUGAGGAGAGGAUCCUAAGACGAACGGGAGAAGCAUUGUUAAGGAACUCGGCAAAAUGACCCCGUAACUUCGGAAGAAGGGGUGCUGGUGUAGAAGCCAGUCGCAGAGAAGAGUCCCAAGCAACUGUUUAACAAAAACAUAGGUUUCUGCUAAAUCGAAAGAUGAAGUAUAGGAGCUGACGCCUGCCCAGUGCUGGAAGGUUAAGGGAAAGAGUUAGGAGUAAUCCGAAGCCCUGAACUGAAGCCCCAGUGAACGGCGGCCGUAACUAUAACGGUCCUAAGGUAGCGAAAUUCCUUGUCAGGUAAGUUCUGACCCGCACGAAAGGCGUAAUGAUUUGGGAGCUGUCUCGACAAUGUCCCCGGCGAAAUUGUAGUACUAGUGAAGAUGCUAGUUACCUGCGACAAGACAGAAAGACCCCAUGGAGCUUUACUGUAGCUUGAUACUGGGUUUCGGUAGUUUAUGUACAGGAUAGGUGGGAGGCUGUGAAUACAGGGCGUCAGCUUUGUAGGAGCCAUUGUUGGGAUACCACCCUUAAAUUACUGGAAUUCUAACCUGUAGUCGUAAUCCGGCUAGGGGACAAUGUCAGGUGGGCAGUUUGACUGGGGCGGUCGCCUCCUAAAGAGUAACGGAGGCGCCCAAAGGUUUCCUCAGCCUGGUCAGAAAUCAGGCGUAAGAGUGCAAAGGCAGAAGGAAGCUUAACUGAAAGACAGACAUGUCGAGCAGAUACGAAAGUAGGGCUUAGUGAUCCGGUGGUUGUAAAUGGAAAUGCCAUCGCUCAACGGACAAAAGUUACCCUGGGGAUAACAGGCUUAUCUCCCCCAAGAGUUCACAUCGACGGGGAGGUUUGGCACCUCGAUGUCGGCUCAUCACAUCCUGGAGCGGAAGUACGUUCCAAGGGUUGGGCUGUUCGCCCAUUAAAGUGGUACGCGAGCUGGGUUCAGAACGUCGUGAGACAGUUCGGUCCUUAUCUGUCGCAGGCGCAGGAUAUUUGAGGGGAGUUGACCUUAGUACGAGAGGACCAGGUUGAACUUACCAAUGGUGCACCAGUUGUCAUACCAAUGGCAUAGCUGGGUAGCUAAGUAGGGAAGGGAUAAACGCUGAAAGCAUCUAAGUGUGAAGCCCACCCCAAGAUAAGAUAUCCCAUACCGAUAAGGUAGU
rnacentral:rRNA from 1 species